CCUCCUCGAUUCGAGGGGCGGUGCCGCCGCCACCGCCGCCGCAGUUCCAGCCUCCGCGCGCCGGGCGCAAACGAACCCGAGAGCUCGCGUCUGGGGAUCGGCCUGAUUACGCGCCACGGUGGCCAAUCCUACGCGGCGCGCGCUGGUGGGCGAUGCGAUCGGAUGAGGUGUUGGCGACGGCGGCGGCGCUGCGUGGAGAGGAGGAGGAGGAGGAGGGCCUCGAGCUACCCCGCGGCGGCCUUUCCGCCGCCGCCUCCGCGCCUUGGAGCCGGUGAUGGCGCCCGCCGUGCAGCCGCCGUCCCCGCCCCCUCCGCGGCGCCCCCGCACGGGCCCUCCCCCCGGGCUGAAGAAUCUCGGCAACACCUGCUACCUCAACAGCGUGCUACAGUGCCUCGCGUCGACCCCUCCCCUCGCUACCUUCUGCCUGUCCUUCCGACACUCCAAUCUAUGCAAGAAGGUGUUCCCGAACAAGGACAAGGAGUGUGUGUUCUGUGUGGUCGAACGGCAGAUCUGGCGGCUGCUUCGAGCGGAAGCAGCCGCGAUAGACUCUCCAGGGAAGGUCAUACGCUGCUUGCCGCUCUUUGCUGAGCACUUCCGGUGGGGGCGCCAGGAGGAUGCGCACGAGUUCCUGCGUUAUGUUAUCGACGCUUGUCACACCGCUGGUCUACGCAUACGCAAGCGGCUCCCUGUGUCAAACGCCAAUGAGGAUGCUACCGAGGAGGAGGGCCGGGUGCAAGGGCCAUGUACAGUGAUGAAGGAGACAUUUGGUGGUGCACUACUCAGCCAAGUGAAGUGCCUCACUUGCAAGGGAGAGUCAAACAAGACCGAUGAGAUAAUGGAUAUCAGCCUUGACCUGCCCGGAAGCAAUUCUGUUGCUGAUGCGCUUGCCCGUUUUUUUCAGCCUGAGAUAUUGGAGGGUGCAAACAAGUAUAGCUGUGAAAGAUGCAAGAAGCUCACCUCUGCACGAAAGCAAAUGUUUGUACUCAGGGCACCUAAGGUGCUUGUCAUACAACUCAAGAGGUUUGAGGGAAUACAUGGCGGAAAGAUCAACAGGAACAUUGAAUUCAAGGAGUCUCUCUUUCUUUCUGACUUCAUGUAUAAAAAAAAUCAGGAUUCACUGCCAGUAUAUAAUCUUUUUGGCAGUAUUGUUCACUCAGGGUUCUCUCCAGAUUCUGGUCACUACUAUGCGUAUGUUAAGGAUGCUAUCGGUCGCUGGUAUUGCUGUAAUGAUUCCCAUAUCUCCCCCUCAAGCUCUCAGGAUGUUCUGUCGGAGAAGGUCUAUAUCCUAUUUUAUAUUCUGAUGAGUACCAAAACUCAAAAGCCUAGUACAAAUGGUUACUGUUCUAGUGCAGCUAAAUCUUCCAACAUCAAUGGAAAUGGCAUAUCAAAUUGCACAUCUAAUGAGCCCUUGAAGAUACCACUAAUAAAACAGAAUGGAUUAUGUUCUACUAAAGGUAUUGUGCCGCCACUACCCCUGAAGAAUGGCAAGAUCGCACCAGGUCUGCAUCUCAAGCCAAUCCACUUGAAGAAUAAUGGAGCAGAGAAAGUUACAUCAAAUGGCAAGGCAAACAUCAUUCCGGGAAAUAAGCUAGAAAUUAACGAGGGUUUAACACUGCCAGCAGUGAAUGGCCGUGAGUCUGGAAAAUCUACAGACCCCAGUAAAAUGAAUGUUAGUGUUAGUAUUUCUUGCAAUAAGACAGAUGUUAAUUCACAGAGAAUGUUACACAAUGCGAAUGGAAAUGGAAAUCCAAUUCACUUGAAUGAUCUUCAGGAGACCACUGCUGCCAAGGCUUCAUUUGCUGAGCAAUAUUCUGAGAAGUCAUCUAUUGCCAGUUUGGGGGAUUCUAAAAGUUCUGUUGCAUGCCAUGAAGUGUCUGCAAAUGUAGUAAAGGAUGUGGUGUCUCCGGGUAAGGACAGUGCUCCCUUGAAGCACCGUCUUGAUGAAGGGAAGUUUAAGGAAAUGCUUGCUGCGUCAGCAUCUUCUGAGCUUCGCUCCUCUGGUUGGGUGGAUGACGUCUCUAAUUUCAUGCGGUCUGCAAAGAGGCGUUGUGUGCAAAAUACAGCCAUGAAUCAAGACAGCGAUACAAUAAGAAAGGAGCUAAUAAGCGAAUCUGGAAGAAUAUUUAGGUCAAAAGUUCCAGAGUCGUUGAGGGAACAUCUCAUUCAAGCCCUGCGGUCGUACUACCAGGACAAAUUUUCACCGGGAUAAUAAAUUUUGUGCGGAGAUUCAUACAAAACUUAAAAAUGUAUCUGUAGCCAUUUUGUAGAAAGACAAUCUUAUGGUGGAUGUAUGUUCCAUGUGGUCUGUUUGCUCUGGUUCAAUGGAAAUCCUGUUGGUCAACUACCAGCUCCUUGUGCGGCUUAAUUUCUGAGGCAUUUUUUGUUAAUCCAAGAUGAGGUUGAGACGUAGAGUGGCCAGACAUGUAAAAUAUCGUCUUCUUUUUUGCUGUUGCUCCAGAUUCUAUAGGAUUAAACACCACCAGCGAGCCUCAUUCCUUGAC